AUUGAACGCUGGCGGCAUGCUUUACACAUGCAAGUCGAACGGUAACAGGGAGCUUGCUCCGCUGACGAGUGGCGAACGGGUGAGUAAUGCGUCGGAACGUGCCGAGUAGUGGGGGAUAACGCAUCGAAAGGUGUGCUAAUACCGCAUACGAACUGAGGUUGAAAGUGGGGGACCUUCGGGCCUCACGCUAUUCGAGCGGCCGACGUCUGAUUAGCUAGUUGGUGAGGUAAAGGCUCACCAAGGCGACGAUCAGUAGCGGGUCUGAGAGGAUGAUCCGCCACACUGGGACUGAGACACGGCCCAGACUCCUACGGGAGGCAGCAGUGGGGAAUUUUGGACAAUGGGCGCAAGCCUGAUCCAGCCAUGCCGCGUGUCUGAAGAAGGCCUUCGGGUUGUAAAGGACUUUUGUCCGGGAGCAAAUGCUGGUGGCUAACAUCCACCGGAGCUGAGAGUACCGGAAGAAUAAGCACCGGCUAACUACGUGCCAGCAGCCGCAGUAAAAC
rnacentral:rRNA from 1 species